rnacentral:rRNA from 1 species
CAGACUUUGAUUAUGGCUCAGGAUGAACGCUGGCGGCGUGCUUAACACAUGCAAGUCGAACGGACUUUACAUGAAACCUAGUGAUUGUAAAGUUAGUGGCGGACGGGUGAGUAACGCGUGAAUAACCUGCCUUGUACUGGGGGACAACAGUUGGAAACGGCUGCUAAUACCGCAUAAGCGCACAGUUCCGCAUGGGACAGUGUGAAAAACUGAGGUGGUACAAGAUGGAUUCGCGUCUGAUUAGCCAGUUGGCGGGGUAACGGCCCACCAAAGCAACGAUCAGUAGCCGGCCUGAGAGGGUGAACGGCCACAUUGGGACUGAGACACGGCCCAAACUCCUACGGGAGGCAGCAGUGGGGAAUAUUGCACAAUGGGGGAAACCCUGAUGCAGCGACGCCGCGUGAGUGAAGAAGUUAUUCGUAACGUAAAGCUCUAUCAGCAGGAAAGAUCAUGACGGUACCUGACUAAGAAGCCCCGGCUAACUACGUGCCAGCAGCCGCGGUAAUACGUAGGGGGCAAGCGUUAUCCGGAUUUACUGGGUGUAAAGGGAGCGUAGACGGCAGAGCAAGUCUGAUGUGAAAGCCCGGGGCCCAACCCCGGAACUGCAUUGGAAACUGUUCAGCUCGAGUGCAGGAGAGGUAAGCGGAAUUCCUAGUGUAGCGGUGAAAUGCGUAGAUAUUAGGAGGAACACCAGUGGCGAAGGCGGCUUACUGGACUGUAACUGACGUUGAGGCUCGAAAGCGAGGGGAGCAAACAGGAUUAGAUACCCUGGUAGUCCACGCCGUAAACGAUGAUUACUAGGUGUCGGGGGACCAAGGUCCUUCGGUGCCGCCGCAAACGCAAUAAGUAAUCCACCUGGGGAGUACGUUCGCAAGAAUGCAACUCAAAGGAAUUGACGG